rnacentral:rRNA from 1 species
AUUGCGAAUGGUUGCCUUCGGUGCUGGCUCUUGCAAGUGCACGUUGGUGGCUUUCAUCCAAUACCCUUGUGAACCUCUGGCCUCUUGCUAGCUUCGGCUGGCAGAGGAUUUUUACACACUCGAAUGUAAUGAAACCUAUUGUCGUGCGCAUGCACUAAUGUACAACUUUCAACAACGGAUCUCUUGGCUCUCGCAUCGAUGAAGAACGCAGCGAAAUGCGAUAAGUAAUGUGAAUUGCAGAAUUCAGUGAAUCAUCGAAUCUUUGAACGCACCUUGCACCCUUUGGUAUUCCGAAGGGUAUGCUCGUUUGAGUGUCAUUGUACUCUCACACUCUCUGAUCCUUUGGAUUCAGGGAGUGGUGGACUUGGGUGUUUGCUGCUUUCCUUGUGGCUCACCUCAAAUGCGUCAGUGCACCUCUUGGUUGGACAUAGUACGGCGUGAUAAGUAUCUUCGCCGGCACCUCGCGAGAGGGUGGCCGAUCGGGAGCUCUGUGCUUUCAAACCGUCUUCGGACAAUUUCUGACAACUUGACCUCAAAUCGAGUAGGACUACCCGCUGAACUUAAGCAUAUCAAUAAGCGG